GAAAUGCGAUAAGUAAUGUGAAUUGCAGAAUUCAGUGAAUCAUCGAAUCUUUGAACGCACAUUGCGCCCAUUAGUAUUCUAGUGGGCAUGCCUGUUCGAGCGUCAUUUCAACCCUUAAGCCCUUGUUGCUUAGCGUUGGGAGCCUACGGCACCGUAGCUCCCCAAAGUCAGUGGCAGAGUCGGCUCACACUCUAGACGUAGUAAUUUCUCACCUCGCCUACAGUUGGACCGGUCCCUCGCCGUAAAACGCCCCAUUUCUUAAAAGGUUGACCUCGGAUCAGGUAGGAAUACCCGCUGAACUUAA
rnacentral:misc_RNA from 1 species